AUUGAACGCUGGCGGCAGGCCUAACACAUGCAAGUCGAACGAGUGGCGGACGGGUGUGUAAUGUCGGGGAAACUGCCUGAUGGAGGGGGAUAACUACUGGAAACGGUAGCUAAUACCGCAUACCAUCAGAUGUGCCCAGAUGGGAGUAGCUAGUUGGUGGGGUAAAGGAUCACCAGGGCGACGAUCCCUAGCUGGUCUGAGAGGAUGACCAGCCACACUGGAAAGGGGACGCGGUCCGGACUCCUACGGGAGGCAGCAGUGGGGAAUAUUGGACAAGGGGCGAAGGCCUGCUGCAGCCAUGCCGCUGGUAUGAAGAAGGCCUUCGGGUUGUAAAGUACUUUCUGCGGGGAGGCGUUACCCGCAGAAGAAGCACCGGCUAACUCCGUGCCAGCAGCCGCGAUAAUAC
rnacentral:rRNA from 1 species